CAAGCCAGGUGGCCGCGGACGGGACGCGUCGCGCAGCGCUUCGGCGCCCGUGAGGCACCGUUCGAGGAAAGUCCGGACACCACAGAGCAGGGCGCUGGCUAACGGCCAGCCGGGGAAACCCGAGGGAAAGCGCAACAGAGAGCAGACCGCCAGCGGCCGUCGAAGGGGUGCGAGCCCCGACCGACGGUGCGGGUAAGGGUGAAACGGUGAGGUAAGAGCUCACCAGCGGUCCUGGUGACAGGCCGGCUCGGCAAGCCCCGCCCGGUGCAAGGCCAAAUAGGGGAGUGUCUGAGGGUUGCUCGCCCGAGACUCCCGGGUUCCGGCCGCACGAGCCGUUCGGCAACGGACGGCCCGAGAUGGAUGGUCACCCACGACAGGAUCCGGCUUACGGCUUGCUAC
rnacentral:RNase_P_RNA from 1 species